rnacentral:rRNA from 1 species
AUCUAAUCAACUCUUCAAAACAUUUAUAUUUAUAUCUUAGUAUAGGUGAUAGAACAGAUUUAUUCUUAGGCACAAUAGAGAGAGUACCGUGAGGGAACGUUGAAAGAUCUUAUCCUGUAAGCAAUAAAAAGCAAAGAUUAAAUCUUCUACCUUUUGCAUAAUGAUUUAGCUAGUCUACCCGGACAAAAAGAAUUAAAGCCCGUCUUCCCGAAAUUAAGUGAGCUAUUGUAGAACAGUUAUUAGAACGAACUCGUCUAUGUAGCAAAAUAGUGAGAUGAUUUUACAAUAGAGGUGAAAAGCCUAUCGAACUUAAUGAUAGCUGGUUGUCCAAAAAGCGAAUUUUAGUUCAACUUUAAAUUUAACCCAAGUACUAAUAAACCGAAUUUAAAUUUAAACGUUACUCAAAAGGGGGACAACUCUUUUGAUAUGUAAACAAACUUGCUUAGUGGGUAAUGAUAUAUACACAACACAUUGUAGGCCUAAAAGCAGCCACCAAUUAAGAAAGCGUUAAAGCUCAAACUAGACUGUCAUUUAAUACCAAUCAUUUAUCAAAACCCCUAAUCCAAUAUUGGACAAUUCUAUUAAUAUUUAGAAGAUAUAAUGCUAAUAUGAGUAACAUGAAUAUAUUCUCCUUGCAUAAGCAUAAAUACGACCGGAACAACCGCUUACACUUAAUCAACCAAAUAACUAUACCCACAUACAAGCAUCCUAUUACCCUUAUUGUUAACCCAACUCAGGCAUGCAUAAAAAGGAAAGAUUAAAAGGAAUAAAAGGAACUCGGCAAACAAAACCCCGCCUGUUUACCAAAAACAUCACCUCUAGCAUUCACCAGUAUUAGAGGCACUGCCUGCCCGGUGAGUUAUGACUUUAACGGCCGCGGUAUCCUGACCGUGCAAAGGUAGCAUAAUCACUUGUCUCUUAAUUGGAGACUAGUAUGAAUGGCAUCACGAGGGUUU